rnacentral:rRNA from 1 species
AUUGAACGCUGGCGGCAGGCCUAACACAUGCAAGUCGAACGGUAACAGGAAGCAGCUUGCUGCUUCGCUGACGAGUGGCGGACGGGUGAGUAAUGUCUGGGAAGCUGCCUGAUGGAGGGGGAUAACUACUGGAAACGGUAGCUAAUACCGCAUAAUGUCGCAAGACCAAAGAGGGGGACCUUCGGGCCUCUUGCCAUCGGAUGUGCCCAGAUGGGAUUAGCUUGUUGGUGGGGUAACGGCUCACCAAGGCGACGAUCCCUAGCUGGUCUGAGAGGAUGACCAGCCACACUGGAACUGAGACACGGUCCAGACUCCUACGGGAGGCAGCAGUGGGGAAUAUUGCACAAUGGGCGCAAGCCUGAUGCAGCCAUGCCGCGUGUAUGAAGAAGGCCUUCGGGUUGUAAAGUACUUUCAGCGGGGAGGAAGGGAGUAAAGUUAAUACCUUCGCUCAUUGACGUUACCCGCAGAAGAAGCACCGGCUAACUCCGUG